rnacentral:rRNA from 1 species
AGACGCUGGCGGCGUGCCUAAUACAUGCAAGUUGAACGCUUGAUUUUCACCGAAGCUUGCUUCACCGAAAAUCAAGAGUAGCGAACGGGUGAGUAACGCGUGGGUAACCUACCUAUCAGCGGGGGAUAACUAUUGGAAACGAUAGCUAAUACCGCAUAACAAUGUUGAAUGCAUAUUCGACAUUUGAAAGUACCAACUGGUACACUGAGAGAUGGACCCGCGUUGUAUUAGCUAGUUGGUAGUGUAAUGGACUACCAAGGCGAUGAUACAUAGCCGACCUGAGAGGGUGAUCGGCCACAUUGGGACUGAGACACGGCCCAAACUCCUACGGGAGGCAGCAGUAGGGAAUCUUCGGGCAAUGGACGAAAGUCUGACCGAGCAACGCCGCGUGAGUGAAGAAGGUUUUCGGAUCGUAAAACUCUGUUGUUAGAGAAGAACGUUGCAUAGAGUGGAAAAUUAUGCAAGUGACGGUAUCUAACCAGAAAGGGACGGCUAACUACGUG